rnacentral:rRNA from 1 species
GAUGAACGCUGGCGGCGUGCCUAAUACAUGCAAGUCGAACGCGAGCACUUGUGCUCGAGUGGCGAACGGGUGAGUAAUACAUAAGUAACCUGCCCUAGACAGGGGGAUAACUAUUGGAAACGAUAGCCUAAAGACCGGCAUAGGUACGGACACUGCAUGGUGACCGUAUUAAAAGUGCCUCAAAGCACUGGUAGAGGAAUUAGGACUUAUGGCGCAUUAGCUGGUUGGCGGGGUAACGGCCCACCAAGGCGACGAUGCGUAGCCGACCUGAGAGGGUGACCGGCCACACUGGGGACUGAGACACGGCCCAGACUCCUACGGGAGGCAGCAGUAGGGAAUUUUUC